rnacentral:tRNA from 1 species
GGAGGGGUCGCAUAGUCCGGCCUAGUGCGCGCGCCUGGAGAGCGCGUGGGGCGUUCCGCCCCCGUGGGUUCAAAUCCCACCCCCUCCG